rnacentral:rRNA from 1 species
UACGUAGGGUGCAAGCGUUAAUCGGAAUUACUGGGCGUAAAGCGUGCGCAGGCGGUUUUGUAAGUCUGUCGUGAAAUCCCCGGGCUCAACCUGGGAAUUGCGAUGGAGACUGCAAGGCUAGAAUCUGGCAGAGGGGGGUAGAAUUCCACGUGUAGCAGUGAAAUGCGUAGAGAUGUGGAGGAACACCGAUGGCGAAGGCAGCCCCCUGGGUCAAGAUUGACGCUGAUGCGCGAAAGCGUGGGGAGCAAACAGG